ACCGAGGGGGUCGGCUUUGUGUACCGCGCAGAUAUUGACUUAGCAACCCUCAGACACAGUGCUCAUUCAUCCAGCUCCUAGUUACGGAACCGACGGGAGAAGUACCCAAGGCUCCGGCUGGAAGGGUGCCAGCGGGUCGGACUCCGACCCGUCCUCCCGCCUCCAGAGCGGGUCUCCCGGUUGUCUACUCUGGACCAGAGGCUGCCCAACUGUCCAACGUGUGCGGCCCGAAGGGGAAGACGAGUCAGGUGCUGCACUGCCUUUCAGGGCACCCUUUCCGCGUUUCUCUCUCGAGAAUCUGCAGAUAAGGGUCAAAGACUCAGCGGAUCAUCACAUCCGGACCCCUGCCUUUGAGCUGAGUUGCAGCGGAGUCUUCAUCGCCCGGCGUCCAAAGUUAUGACUCGUUCUGGGUCCUGAAGUUGGGAUGGGGUGACCGCUCCGGCAUCUCGAGAUCCAUCACCGCAACCCAUUCGCCUAGAAAUGUCAUCUAAGAGGUAAAGCCCUCCACAUCUGCGUUUUGAUUUGACUGCUGAGAUGGAGCCUUUGGUGUUUGAAUGGGAAUAAGUGGAUUCCGCACACUGAGGUGAGAUUGAGUAAAAUCGAGCGAGGCGGAAGGCCCUGGGGCUCUACCCGGCGCUGAACCCGGCUGAGAAAGAGUUUCCGCCCAGGCCCCAGAUGACAGCCUUGGCCUGAGCCUGUCCAGCCUCAGCUCUGGGCUGGCUGGGAGAUUGAACGGAGGGGAGAGGCAGCCUAAAGCCCUCCGGGAAUUGGAACUCCGGGCAAGGCUUCGAACACGCACUUUGCGGGCUUCAACAGCGCAACACAACACAGCCCUGAACCCGGUCUAGACCUGAAUCCAGUCCAGAAAUCCAGAAAGUGAUUACACCGAGGUAAUCACAGUUCCCGCGCUGCCCUCUUCGAUAAAUUCCCCAAGACCUUAUUUUUCAGGGGUGUUUGUUGGUCUCCGGAACAGGUGACGAAAGGAGACCGGCAUUGCUUUCCCUGCAGAUUUAUGGAAGACCGGGCAGAGGGAAUUAGGAGAAGCAGCCUGGUCUGGUCAGUCAGCCGAUCGUAUUUAUUGAGCGCUUAC